UCCGGCUUAUCACCGGCAGUUUUCUCAGAGUGCCCAGCCUUACCUGAUGGCAACAGAGAAUGAGGGUUGCGCUCGUUGCGGGACUUAACCCAACAUCUCACGACACGAGCUGACGACAGCCAUGCAGCACCUGUGCACCUCCCACCCGAAGUGAAGAGACUCUUUUCGGAGUCUCAUAGAGGGCAUGUCAAGGCCUGGUAAGGUUCUUCGCGUUGCCUCGAAUUAAACCACAUGUUCCACCGCUUGUGCGGGUCCCCGUCAAUUCCUUUGAGUUUUAAUCUUGCGACCGUACUCCCCAGGCGGGAUGCUUAACGCGUUAGCUGCGCCACUGAGAGUAACCCCCCAACGGCUAGCAUCCAUCGUUUACAGCGUGGACUAC
rnacentral:misc_RNA from 1 species